AUUGAACGCUGGCGGCAGGCCUAACACAUGCAAGUCGAGCGAGCGGCGGACGGGUGAGUAAUGUCUGGGAAACUGCCUGAUGGAGGGGGAUAACUACUGGAAACGGUAGCUAAUACCGCAUACCAUCAGAUGUGCCCCGAUGGGAUUAGCUAGUAGGUGGGGUAACGGCUCACCUAGGCGACGAUCCCUAGCUGGUCUGGGAGGAUGACCAGCCACACUUGAACUGAGACACUGGCCAGACUCCUACGGGGGGCAGCAGUGGGGAAUAUUGCACAAUGGGCGCAAGCCUUAUGCAGCCAUGCCGCGGGUAUGAAGAAGGGCUUCGGGUUGUAAAAUACUUUCAGCGGGGAGGCGUUACCCGCAGAAGAAGCACCGGCUAACUCCGGGCCAGGCGCCGCGGUAAUAUC
rnacentral:rRNA from 1 species